rnacentral:rRNA from 1 species
CUGGCGGCAGGCCUAACACAUGCAAGUCGAACGGUAACAGGAAUCAGCUUGCUGNUUCGCUGACGAGUGGCGGACGGGUGAGUAAUGUCUGGGAAACUGCCUGAUGGAGGGGGAUAACUACUGGAAACGGUAGCUAAUACCGCAUAACGUCGCAAGACCAAAGAGGGGGACCUUCGGGCCUCUUGCCAUCGGAUGUGCCCAGAUGGGAUUAGCUAGUAGGUGGGGUAACGGCUCACCUAGGCGACGAUCCCUAGCUGGUCUGAGAGGAUGACCAGCCACACUGGAACUGA